GCCAGUGUGGCAUAGUAGUUUGAGUGUUUGACUAUGACUCUGGUGUCCAUGGUUCGAUUCCCAGUUUGGCC